AUCAUUACCUAGAGUUGCGGGCUUUGCCUGCCAUCUCUUACCCAUGUCUUUUGAGUACCUUCGUUUCCUCGGCGGGUUCGCCCGCCGAUUGGACAAAACUUAAACCCUUUGUAAUUGAAAUCAGCGUCUGAAAAAAACAUAAUAGUUACAACUUUCAACAACGGAUCUCUUGGUUCUGGCAUCGAUGAAGAACGCAGCGAAAUGCGAUAAGUAGUGUGAAUUGCAGAAUUCAGUGAAUCAUCGAAUCUUUGAACGCACAUUGCGCCCCUUGGUAUUCCAUGGGGCAUGCCUGUUCGAGCGUCAUUUGUACCUUCAAGCUUUGCUUGGUGUUGGGUGUUUGUCUCGCCUCUGCGCGCAGACUCGCCUCAAAACGAUUGGCAGCCGGCGUAUUGAUUUCGGAGCGCAGUACAUCUCGCGCUUUGCACUCACAACGACGACGUCCAAAAAGUACAUUUUUACACUCUUGACCUCGGAUCAGGUAGGGAUACC
rnacentral:rRNA from 1 species